ACUCUUUAGUCUGAGAGCCAUACAGGAUUGUUAGUACCUUAGAGCACACUGGACUUUCAGUAAAAGCAUCCUCUAGGAAGCUGAGGCGUGAUGGCUGAAGCUCCAGCAAUUUAUGUGCAAUUUUCCUCCGACAGUUCCUGUUGGUACAGGAAUAAAGACCAGGCAGUGUCCUUAUCUAUUUGUAAUAGUAAGAGAAGCUCCGCAGUCACACUUGGGAUAUUGUUUAACAGAUGACGUGCUUUCUUUUGCACACUACUGCUGCCAAU